UACGUAGGGGGCAAGCGUUGUCCGGAUUUACUGGGCGUAAAGAGCGCGUAGGCGGAAGUUUAAGCGGUGCUUGAAAGCCCCCGGCUCAACCGGGGAGGGUGGUGCCGAACUGGACUUCUUGAGGGCGAUAGAGGAGAGUGGAAUUCCGGGUGUAGCGGUGAAAUGCGUAGAGAUCCGGAGGAACACCAGUGGCGCAGGGCGGCUCUCUGGGGUCGGCCCUGGACCGCUGAGGCGCGAA
rnacentral:rRNA from 1 species